rnacentral:lncRNA from 1 species
AUCAUGGAGGAUAAAAUGGUCAUGUGCAUCAAACCAUUGGAGGAGGGGUGGGGCACAUCUCUUGCUGCUCAUUUUAUUUAGUUGUUCUUGUUAUGUUGUAAUAAAAAGUGUAAGAGACCAAUUUUGGCCCAAAAACACUAAGUAUGGUUAUUUUGUGUGUUUAAUCCAUUUUAAAGCUUCCAAAGCUUUGAAUGGAAUGUUUUGUGUGUUUAUUUCGUGCAAAGGAGUGCUGAAGACAAAAGAAAAAUAAGGCAUUAAAGAUCAUUUAAUCUGAAGGAGGAAAGAAUGCAAGAAUUGAAGAGGAAAGGGACAAGACUUCAAUGAGACAAUGAAGGCAUUUCAUUUCAGCAUAUGAAACCACCAUCAUCAUCAAAUUCACGUCCAUCAUCAUGAUCAUCAAGACCAGCCACAUUGAUUUGUCGUGUAACCAUUUCUUGUAUUCAUGUUAAUUUACUUCAGCCAUAGGAAAUAAUGAUAGAUUAAUUUGGCGGAAGGAAUCCUAAGAGUUAUUUGCAUUUUUCUUUGUAAUUCAGCAAGUGUCCCUCCUACCUAUAUAUAGGACACGAAAAUUGAAUAAAAGACAAGUUAAUUUUUGUUAAAAAAAAGUGAGUAAUUGCUCUUUAGGUUCUGGAUUGGACCUUGUAUUGAUCAUAUCAAGAAUCCUUUCUUGUGGUGAUCUUCAUUCCAUAGACUUAUCAUUUUCUAGGAUUAGAAAGUGUGGCGUCCCUAAACUCUCCAUUCCAUUUCUUGUUUGAAACCACAAAUCAGCCUAAACACCAAUUCAAAACCAAAUUCUCAUUUUCAACUCAAAUCAUUGUCAAAAUUAAUCCCAAUAC